UUUACUAGUGGCGGACGGGUGAGUAACGCGUGGGUAACCUGCCUUAUACAGGGGGAUAACAGUCAGAAAUGGCUGCUAAUACCGCAUAAGCGCACAGGACCGCAUGGUCCGGUGUGAAAAACUCCGGUGGUGUGAGAUGGACCCGCGUUUGAUUAGCUAGUUGGUGGGGUAACGGCCUACCAAGGCGACGAUCAAUAGCCGACCUGAGAGGGUGACCGGCCACAUUGGGACUGAGACACGGCCCAAACUCCUACGGGAGGCAGCAUG
rnacentral:rRNA from 1 species